rnacentral:lncRNA from 12 species
UAAGGAAGGAAGAAGAGAGCUAAAUUGAAACCUUGUCUCCAAAUCUGUAUGCAGGAGGUGACUUGAUUUAGAAGCUUUAGCAGCAAGGAGCUGCCACGACGGUGUACUGCGGCACGGCGGCGGAGCUGGAGGGGCUGGGAGGGAUGUACUUCAACAACUGCUGCCGCUGCCUGCCCUCGCAGCAGGCACAGGGCGACGCCACGGCCACGGCCCUCUGGGAGCUGAGCGAGAGGCUGAUCCAAGAACGAAUUGGCAGCCAGGCCAAAUAGCAGGGAGCUCCUGCAAGGAUCAAAACACACGAGUGUGUGCGCGCUCGGAAACUGCCAACACUGGAACCUGUCCAAUCUUAUCAUCUAGAGGGUUUCCAUGUACCUCAGAUACAGAUUAACCAGUGUUAAAUGAAAUAAUAGCAGUCACAACAUAGUGAAAAAUGUUAAGUACUAAUGGGAGGUGGGGAAUACUGUGGGUUAAAGGGACAAUGCGGCUUCCUGGGGCUUAGUUAGUCUCGGUUCUCUUUCUUUUGAUUAUAGCCUGUUCAAAGUGUAACCCAAGGAGGCAUCUUUUGUCUUAUUUUAAAAAAGCAAUUCUGCAAAUAAUUUCUGUUGUUUUGAUUAAUGGGUAGGUACAUAGCCCAAUAUGGGAUUUCCUCCUUAUUUUGAUAAUUACUGUCUGUUAGGCUUUAGGUAUUGAUUGGGAGAUGGUAGUUGUGUUGAUUCUUUUUCCCUACAAGGAUUUUAUUGGGUGUGGCAAAUCAAAAGAUUAUUGAGGAAAGAAAUCUUUUCUGCCCUUGGCUGUUGGCUGCAAAUACAUCUGCGCUGUUUAGAAAAAGAAGGUGCAGGAAGACAUCUGAACAGUAAUGGUAAAGUCACAGCUAAUUAAAUAUUUCUGUCUUUUUUUUUUUUUUUUCUUAAAAGAUUCCCAAUAUGGGAUUUCCUCCUUAUUUUGAUAAUUACUGUCUGUUAGGCUUUAGGUAUUGAUUGGGAGAUGGUAGUUGUGUUGAUUCUUUUUCCCUACAAGGAUUUUAUUGGGUGUGGCAAAUCAAAAGAUUAUUGAGGAAAGAAAUCUUUUCUGCCCUUGGCUGUUGGCUGCAAAUACAUCUGCGCUGUUUAGAAAAAGAAGGUGCAGGAAGACAUCUGAACAGUAAUGGUAAAGUCACAGCUAAUUAAAUAUUUCUGUUUUUUUUUUUUUUUUUCUUAAAAGAUUACAAUAAAAGGUAUGUUGUAAACCAUUCCCUAAGUACUGUCGAGUUAGCAAAGAUGAUGAUGUUUCCUCAAGAACACACAGAGUGUAAUCAGGGGUUUAAAUGGUAUUUCAAUCCAUUUCUCGGUUCACAGUUUUAAGGAGUUUUUUUUUUCCUUGAAAGUUCACAGUUUCUUACUUCUCCUGAUACUGUAUCCCAUUCCAAAUCUGUCUUUUCUUUCCAUUUAAAUUCAAUAAAACAACAUGCUUGCUUGAAUAUUGUCACCUGAAGAGAAAGUUUGUCUCAUUUCUGCAAAUGUCUUAGUUCCAUUUUUUUUUAGAAAAGAAAACUUGAGGAAAAAUAAAGAGCUUCUUGUUGAUGCCAAGAAAACGCUGUUUUUUUCUUGUUUCUUUCUGAGUUCAUUUUUUGUAUUUUGUGCUUUGUAGCUGUCUUCAUGCCAGAAGGUUGUUCUAAGCCAUCCUCAGUCCAGCAUCACAUUUUCUGUAGACAGAAUAUAAACAAAUAAAUAGAAGGACACAUUGUUAAUAGAAGUUUAUUUGAUCCCCUUAUUAUUUCUGCUUUAUUGUUA